UGGUGGCUCCAGUGACAUGGCAGUGGC
rnacentral:piRNA from 1 species